UACAGAGGUGGCAAGCGUUGUUCGGAAUUACUGGGCGUAAAGGGCGCGUAGGCGGCCUUCUAAGUCAGACGUGAAAUCCCCCGGCUUAACCUGGGAACUGCGUCUGAUACUGGGAGGCUAGAGUAUGGGAGAGGGAUGUAGAAUUCCAGGUGUAGCGGUGAAAUGCGUAGAUAUCUGGAGGAAUACCGGUGGCGAAGGCGGCAUCCUGGACCAUUACUGACGCUGAGGCGCGAAAGCUAGGGGAGCGAAUGGG
rnacentral:rRNA from 1 species